rnacentral:lncRNA from 1 species
GGACCAGGGAAGGUUUCACUGAAUAUUUUGACAAACACCCAAAGGAAGUGAGAGAGUUCACCACGUGGAUAUCUGGCGGAAAAACAUUCUAGGCAAAGGGCACAGCCAUGCAAAGCUCAGAGGCAUGAGGAUGUCAGGAUGCUAAGGAGUGGCUGGGGGCCAGUGUUGGGGAGUAGAGAUGAGGUCAGAUGAUAACAGCAGGCCAGAUCAUGCUGUGUUGCAGGUCGUGGUUAAGACACUGGCUUUUUUUCCUGAAAGAGAAUAAGAAAUUCAAGGGUCACAGUGAUAAUUUCCCGUAUGAGGUGAUGGGGGCCUGAACUGGAGUGACAAGAAUGGAACAAAAAGGAAAGGCAGAGGCACAAGAGUGACUGAGAGCACACAGCCCUCUUCCCAGCCCCACACCAGCCUCCACUAAGAUGAAGGAAGAAGAAUAGAGUAACAGAAGCCAGAGAAUCAUAGUAGUAGACGCCUUUGAGAUGACCCCCAUUGAUUCCCCUGAGCCAAAGUGUUACAGAGCAGAGAGAAUUUCCACCCAAGAGUCAAGUGGGGAAAGGGAACAACAGGACCCUCGUCGUCCCUGCUGGACCCCAUCUGCCACUGUGGUCAAGACCUUCAGAAGCACAACUUAGCACUAUUGGGGCCCUCUACCUUAUCAAAGGCAAGAGACUGGAGUUCCCCCUACCUUUUUUAUAAGCUCCUGCCACCUUCCUUUUUAUUUGAAAGAAUCAAAGAGGCUCCAACCCUUUUCAUUGCUCAAUAAAUAGUAAUACUGAAUUAAAUAAAGAUUGCUCAUUUCCAUACAUUGAGUCCAGAAGAG